rnacentral:rRNA from 1 species
CGGCGAGUGAAGCGGCAACAGCUCAAAUUUGAAAUCUGGCUUUCGGGCCCGAGUUGUAAUUUGUAGAGGAUGAUUUUGAUGCGGUGCCUUCCGAGUUCCCUGGAACGGGACGCCAUAGAGGGUGAGAGCCCCGUCUGGUUGGAUGCCAAAUCUCUGUAAAUCUCCUUCGACGAGUCGAGUAGUUUGGGAAUGCUGCUCUAAAUGGGAGGUAUAUGUCUUCUAAAGCUAAAUACCGGCCAGAGACCGAUAGCGCACAAGUAGAGUGAUCGAAAGAUGAAAAGCACUUUGAAAAGAGAGUUAAAAAGUACGUGAAAUUGUUGAAAGGGAAGCGUUUAUGACCAGACUUGGGCUUGGUUAAUCAUCUGGGGUUCUCUCCAGUGCACUUUUCCAGCCCAGGCCAGCAUCAGUUUUCGCCGGGGGAUAAAGACUUCGGGAAUGUGGCUCCCCUCGGGGAGUGUUAUAGCCCGUUGUGUAAUACCCUGGUGGGGACUGAGGUUCGCGCUUCUGCAAGGAUGCUGGCGUAAUGGUCAUCAACGACCCGUCUUGAAACACGGACCAAGGAGUCGUCUUCGUAUGCGAGUGUUCGGGUGUCAAACCCCUACGCGUAAUGAAAGUGAACGCAGGUGAGAGCUUCGGCGCAUCAUCGACCGAUCCUGAUGUUCUCGGAUGGAUUUGAGUAAGAGCAUACGGGGCCGGACCCGAAAGAAGGUGAACUAUGCCUGUGUAGGGUGAAGCCAGAGGAAACUCUGGUGGAGGCUCGCAGCGGUUCUGACGUGCAAAUCGAUCGUCAAAC